GCCGGGCACGGUGGCUUGUGCCUGUAAUCCAAGCGCCGGGGAGGCUGAGGCUGGCGGACGGCUUGAGCCUGGGGGUUCUGGGCUGCAGCCAAGCGAGCUGUGCCGAGUGGGCGUCCGCGCUAAGGCCGGCAUCGAUAUGGUGGUCCUCGGGGAGCCGCGGGCCACCAGGUCGCUUAAGGAGGGGUGAACCGGCCCAGGUCGGAGACGGAGCAGGUCAAAGCUCCCGUGCCGGUCAGUAGCGGGAUGGCGCCUGUGAACAGUCCCUGUAGCACAGCCUGGGCAAGAGAGCGGGACCCAGCCUCUU
rnacentral:SRP_RNA from 1 species